rnacentral:rRNA from 1 species
GGCCGCGGGAAUUCGAUUCAGGCCUAACACAUGCAAGUCGAACGGUAACGCGGGGCAACCUGGCGACGAGUGGCGAACGGGUGAGUAAUGCAUCGGAACGUGCCCAGUAGUGGGGGAUAGCCCGGCGAAAGCCGGAUUAAUACCGCAUACGACCUACGGGUGAAAGGGGGGGGAUCGCAAGACCUCUCGCUAUUGGAGCGGCCGAUGUCAGAUUAGGUUGUUGGUGGGGUAAAGGCCUACCAAGCCGACGAUCUGUAGCUGGUCUGAGAGGACGACCAGCCACACUGGGACUGAGACACGGCCCAGACUCCUACGGGAGGCAGCAGUGGGGAAUUUUGGACAAUGGGCGCAAGCCUGAUCCAGCCAUGCCGCGUGCGGGAAGAAGGCCUUCGGGUUGUAAACCGAUUUUGUCAGGGAAGAAAUCUUCCGGGCUAAUACCUCGGGAGGAUGAC